rnacentral:rRNA from 1 species
CCUACGGGUGGCUGCAGUGGGGAAUAUUGGACAAUGGGGGCAACCCUGAUCCAGCCAUGCCGCGUGUGUGAAGAAGGCCCUCGGGUUGUAAAGCACUUUCAGUGAGGAAGAACGCCUGGUGGUUAAUACCCAUCAGGAAAGACAUCACUCACAGAAGAAGCACCGGCUAACUCCGUGCCAGCAGCCGCGGUAAUACGGAGGGUGCGAGCGUUAAUCGGAAUUACUGGGCGUAAAGCGCGCGUAGGUGGCUUGAUAAGCCGGUUGUGAAAGCCCCGGGCUCAACCUGGGAACGGCAUCCGGAACUGUCAAGCUAGAGUGCAGGAGAGGAAGGUAGAAUUCCCGGGGUAGCGGUGAAAUGCGUAGAGAUCGGGAGGAAUACCAGUGGCGAAGGCGGCCUUCUGGACUGACACUGACACUGAGGUGCGAAAGCGUGGGUAGCAAACAGGAUUAGAUACCCGAGUAGUC